CGUCAAGUCCUCAUGGCCCUUAUAGGUGGGGCUACACACGUCAUACAAUGGAUGGUACAAAGGGUCGCCAACCCGCGAGGGGGAGCCAAUCCCAUAAAGCCAUUCGUAGUCCGGAUCGCAGUCUGCAACUCGACUGCGUGAAGUCGGAAUCGCUAGUAAUCGUGGAUCAGAAUGUCACGGUGAAUACGUUCCCGGGUCUU
rnacentral:rRNA from 1 species